rnacentral:tRNA from 1 species
GGCACUAUGGCCGAGUGGUUAAGGCGAAAGACUCGAAUGUUUUAUUUUCAGUUAUCUUUUGGGCUCUGCCCGCGCUGGUUCAAAUCCUGCUGGUGUCG